GAGCUUAUUUCCACAGUGUGCAACUGAAGAAGGGCUUGUGGAAACAAUUGCACUCCAUGUCUCCACCAAUGAAUGCUAUCAUGGAUAACAAAUCAAAUCUCCUACGUGGAUACUUUCCGCCAAACGUCACCAGUAACGUGACAAUAUACUCAAUACUGGAAUUUGAUCUCAACCUCAACAUUGCUUAUCUAAAUAGUUCCAAAAUUUACAGAUAUUAAUAAGGUAAGUACUUUUUCCUCAGCAUGACUUGGAGGGGGUAAUGUUACUACUGAAACACUCAGCAGCAGUGAGGAACACUCUGUUAAGUCCCCAAGUGUCUAAUCAGUAAGUCACUAGUAGUCAUCAAACAAACCACAGCACAAGGCUAGUGCAGGAAAACAUGUUAUUGUGUAUGCAUUGUUCACAGUAGGCCUGCAUGGGUCUGUAGAGAUCUUUAUCUGUACAAUCUCUAAGUACACAAAAUCACACCAUCAAUCAACUUUAAUUGCAGUGUGUCCAAGAUAAAAAUCUUAUGAACACAUCGUCUACAGUGCGUCAUAAGUAGAAGUAUGAGUCAGCACAUAUUUGUA
rnacentral:lncRNA from 1 species